UGGGGAAUCUUCCGCAAUGGGCGAAAGCCUGACGGAGCAAUGCCGCGUGAGUGAAGAAGGCCUUCGGGUUGUAAAGCUCUGUCCUAAGGGAAGAAUGUACAGUAUGUGAAUAAUGUACUGUAAUGACGGUACCUUGGGAGGAAGCCCCGGCUAACUACGUGCCAGCAGCCGCGGUAACACGUAGGGGGCGAGCGUUGUCCGGAAUUACUGGGCGUAAAGCGCGCGUAGGCGGAUUAUUAAGUCAGAUGUGAAACCUCUGGGCUCAACCGAGAGCUUGCAUCUGAUACUGGUAAUCUUGAGUGUAGAAGAGGAGAGUGGAAUUCCUAGUGUAGCGGUGAAAUGCGUAGAUAUUAGGAGGAACACCAGUGGCGAAGGCGACUCUCUGGUCUAUAACUGACGCUGAGGCGCGAAAGCGUGGGGAGCAAACAGG
rnacentral:rRNA from 1 species